rnacentral:rRNA from 1 species
GGGGAAAAAUUAAUUAUUUAUAUUAUAAUAAAAAAAUUUUUAGGUAAAAAUAUUUUGGGGGGUUAAAGUAUUUUUAUUGAAAAAAUAAAAUAAUUUAUAAUAAAUUAGUAUUGUAAAAGAAUUUUGAAAUAAAUGAAAUAAAAAAUUAAUUAAAAGUAGUUUUAAUUUAAUGUAUCUUGUGUAUCAGAGUUUAUUAAAUAAAAUUUUUAAUUUAAAAAUUCUCGAAUUUAAAAGAGAUAAUUAAUUAAUAAAGUUAUUGUAGCAUAAAUAUUUAAAAUAAUUAAUUUGAAAUGAAAUGUUAAUCGUUUUUAAAUAUAUCUAGUUUUUUUAGAAAAAAAUUUAAUUUUUUAUUAUUCCAUGAAAAAAUUAAUUAAUUAAUUUUUUCAUGGAAUAAUGUUAUAUUUUAAGGGAUAAGCUUUAAUUUAAAUUUAUAUAAAUAUUAAUUUAAAUUUUAAAAUUUUUAUAAUUUAUAUUGUUAAAAAAUUUUAAUUUAUUAUAAAUAAUUUUAUGUAAAAUAAAAUUUAAUAAAAUUUUAUAAGUUUUAUAAAAAAAUAUUUUUUAAUUUUUAAAAAAUUGAUAUAAUGAUAAAAUUAGUAUAUUAUUUAUUAAAAAUUAUUAUUUAUAAAAAAUAAUUAAUUAAAAGGAAUUCGGCAAAAAUUUAUAUUCACUUGUUUAUCAAAAACAUGUCUUUUUGAAAAUAAUAUAAAGUCUAAUCUGCCCACUGAUUUAAUAAUUAAAGGGCUGCAGUAAUUUGACUGUACAAAGGUAGCAUAAUCAUUAGUCAUUUAAUUGGUGACUUGUAUGAAAGAUUGGAUGAAAUAUAAACUGUCUCUUAAUUAAAUUUAGAAUUUAAUUUUUUAAUUAAAAAGUUAAAAUGAAUUAAAAAGACGAGAAGACCCUAUAGAGUUUUAUAAAUAAAUUUAAUUAAAAUUAUUAUUAAAAUAAAUAAAUUGAAAUUAUUUUAUUUAUUUUAUUGGGGUGAUAAAAAAAUAUAUUAAACUUUUUUUAGUUGAUUAACAUAUAUAAGUGAAUAUUUGAUCCAGUAUUAUUGAUUAGAAGAAAAAAUUACCUUAGGGAUAACAGCGUAAUUUUUUUUUUUAGUUCACAUAAAAAAAAGAGUUUGCGACCUCGAUGUUGGAUUAAGAUAAAAUUUAAAUGCAGAAGUUUAAAGUUUUGAUCUGUUCGAUCAUUAAAAUCUUACAUGAUCUGAGUUCAAACCGGUGUAAGCCAGGUUGGUUUCUAUCUUUUAAAAAUUAAAAUAUUUUAGUACGAAAGGAUUAAAUAUUAAAAUUAAAUUUAUAUUAAGAAUUUUAUUAAUUUUAUUGUAAAUGUUUAAAUUAAAAUUAAAUGAUAUAUAUAUAUAUAUAU